rnacentral:rRNA from 1 species
UGGGGGAUUUUGCACAAUGGGCGCAAGCCUGAUGCAGCGACGCCGCGUGAGGGAUGAAGGCCUUCGGGUUGUAAACCUCUUUCGCUGGGUUGAAAGGCCAUGCUUUGGGUGUGGUUGAUUUGAACUGGUAAAGAAGUACCGGCUAACUACGUGCCAGCAGCCGCGGUAAUACGUAGGGUACUAGCGUUGUCCGGAUUUAUUGGGCGUAAAGGGCUUGUAGGUGGUUUGUCGCGUCUGUCGUGAAAUCCUGUGGCUUAACCAUGGGCUUGCGGUGGGUACGGGCAGGCUUGAGUGCGGUAGGGGAGACUGGAAUUCCUGGUGUAGCGGUGGAAUACGCAGAUAUCAGGAGGAACACCGGUGGCGAAGGCGGGUCUCUGGGCCGUUACUGACACUGAGGAGCGAAAGCGUGGGGAGCGAACAGG